AUGGUCACCACGUACUCGGAGGGGCCCACGAAAGCCAGCAGGCGGCUGUCCCCACUAACCACCAGGGCAUUGGGGGUUGGGCGGGCAUCCCGGCACACCACGUUAGCUGCCGACAGCACGGGGGAACACGGUCAACUGGGCGCAGAGAGGGUACCCGCAGGAGACACGGGUCAGGACCCAAACCUGCCCCCAGCUGUGGGAAACACCCGCCCAGAGCCUGGCAGGUCACACAGCAACAGCCCACAAGACCCGCAAGCGAGAGCACCAGGUUACCCGGCUACUGCUGGGGCGGCUGGCGCUUCUCCAGGUGACCACCUGGCUGGCCCGAGUUAUAGCAGCCACAAGAGAAAACAGACAGAUGGCCUCGGGGGGUGCUCUGGGGUGGGCCGACCCCCACCUGGUGCUCAGGCCACACACCUGCUCCUGGAGCCGGCUGGCACAGACCCUCACGGACCUGCACUGACCUGGGGGCCGAGGAGUUCCAAAACCACCCUCACCCCGGAGCUCUGGGUAGCGAGCGAGCCCCACCCCGCAGGGACCCGACAAGGACACGGCUGGAGGGCCCAGUGGGGCCCGGGGGGCCUGACCUGUCACACGCAGGACGUGGCACCGGGUGGUAGAGCAGUGGUACUGGGCCAAGGUGCCCCGAGAGCAGGAGCUGAACAGGAAGCUGCCGUCGGGGCUGGCGGCCAGGCCGGUGACCGCUCCUUGGUGACGCCUGUAACACACGGGGACACCCACUGCCCAGACCUCUCACAGCCGGGCCUGGCCGAGUCCCCGGAGGGCAGCGGAGGGCCCCCCCACAGCACGUCAGCUUCCACCACGGGUGUCUUGGGGCUGGAACCCGCCGGGCACCCACCUGUGCCGUACCAGAACCCCAGCGUUCUCCAGGCUGAAGGAGCAGACGGCCCCGCUGGCAAAGCCACAGAAAAGAACUGGCUGCGUGGGGUGGAAGGCGAUGGCGCGCGGUGUCUCCUCGGGGGACCUCAGGUCAUACAGCUGGAGGGCGGGGCUCCGUGA
rnacentral:lncRNA from 1 species